GGACUACGGGGGUAUCUAAUCCCUUUCGCGCCCCUAGCCUUCAUCCCUCACUGUCAGAACUGUUAUCGUAAAGUGCCUUCGCUGUUGUUAGUCCAUUUAAGAUUAACGUAUUUUACUACUACCUCAAAUGUACUCUUUACGUCCCCCAGUCUCUAGCUAUGUAGUAUUCGUCGCGGCCUUAUCCUCAUGAGAUAAGAUUUAACAACGAACUUACAUAGCAAGCUACGGAUGUUUUAGACCUAAUAAUGUUGGUUGCGACUCGGACCGCCGGGAUUACCGCGGCGGCUGGCACCGGUCUUGCCCAGUCCUUAUUCGUCAAUCUUUUUACAAUUAACAAAAGUCUCUCUAAGAGAGACACUCUGGCUCGCUUUGUCGCGCUUUCGCGCAUUGCAAAAAAUCCGCGACUGCUGCCCCCCAUAGG
rnacentral:rRNA from 1 species